CAGGAGAGAUACAACAGACUGUCCUGACCUGGUAGGUAUUAACAGGAGAGAUACAACAGACUGUCCUGACCUGGUAGGUAUUAACAGGAGAGAUACAACAGACUGUCCUGACCUGGUAGGUAUUAACAGGAGAGAUACAACAGACUGUCCUGACCUGGUAGGUAUUAACAGGAGAGAUACAACAGACUGUCCUGACCUGGUAGGUAUUAACAGGAGAGAUACAACAGACUGUCCUGACCUGGUAGGUAUUAACAGGAGAGAUACAACAGACUGUCCUGACCUGGUAGGUAUUAACAGGAGAGAUACAACAGACUGUCCUGACCUGGUAGGUAUUAACAGGAGAGAUACAACAGACUGUCCUGACCUGGUAGGUAUUAACAGGAGAGAUACAACAGACUGUCCUGACCUGGUAGGUAUUAACAGGAGAGAUACAACAGACUGUCCUGACCUGGUAGGUAUUAACAGGAGAGAUACAACAGA